rnacentral:rRNA from 1 species
AUUGAACGCUGGCGGCAGGCCUAACACAUGCAAGUCGAACGAGUGGCGGACGGGUGAGUAAUGUCUGGGUAACUGCCUGAUGGAGGGGGAUAACUACUGGAAACGGUAGCUAAUACCGCAUACCAUCGGAUGUGCCCCGAUGGGAUUAGCUAGUAGGUGGGGGAAAGGCUCACCUGGGCGACGCUCCCUCGCUGGUCUGAGAGGAUGACCAGCCACACGGGAACGGAGACACGGUCCAGACUGCUACGGGAGGCAGCAGUGGGGAAGAUUGCACAAGGGGCGCAAGCCUGAUGCAGCCAUGCCGCGUGUAUGAAGAAGGCCUUCGGGUUGUAAAGUACGUUCAGCGGGGAGGCGUUACCCGCAGAAGAAGCACCGGCUAACUCCGUGCCAGCAGCCGCGGUAAUAC